CCCUGGCUCAGGAUGAACGCGGGCGGCGUGCUUAACACAUGCAAGUCGAACGAUGAGCCCCAGCUUGCUGGGGUGAUUAGUGGCGAACGGGUGAGUAACACGUGAGUAACCUGCCCCUGACUCUGGGAUAAGCCCGGGAAACUGGGUCUAAUACUGGAUAUGCACCGUGGACCGCAUGGUCCUUGGUGGAAAGAUUUUUUGGUCAGGGAUGGACUCGCGGCCUAUCAGCUUGUUGGUGAGGUAAUGGCUCACCAAGGCGACGACGGGUAGCCGGCCUGAGAGGGUGACCGGCCACACUGGGACUGAGACACGGCCCAGACUCCUACGGGAGGCAGCAGUGGGGAAUAUUGCACAAUGGGCGAAAGCCUGAUGCAGCGACGCCGCGUGAGGGAUGACGGCCUUCGGGUUGUAAACCUCUUUCAGUAGGGAAGAAGCGAAAGUGAACGGUACCUGCAGAAGAAGCGCCGG
rnacentral:rRNA from 1 species